rnacentral:lncRNA from 1 species
UUGUAAUUUAAAGAUUCUUUGGUUUUAGACCCUCAACCCAUCUGACUGUGCAGAAACGCUGACGUGGCAUGCUGACUGGAAAAAAUUGCAUAUUUGGCACGCUGAGUUGGAAUUUUAUAAUUCUUUUUCAUUUUUUUUUUACAAAAAUUCUUUUAUAUUUUUAUUUAUUCCAUUAAAAAAAAAAACUCCCUCUUUUUCCUCUUCUUCUCUUCACCGUAGCUUCUUUUUCUUUCUUCCUCAAAAUCUUCUUCCUCCUCACAACCAUCUUCAACCUUCACAAUCUUCUAUUCCACAAUUAAUUUUUCUCUUCAUCUUUCUCAACUUCAUAUCACAACGUUCAUCAUCAAUUCUUCAAAAUCAUGAACUCAAACUUUCAAAUCCAAAACCCAUAAUUUAACAUCAAAUGAAUCCAAACCCAUAAAUAAAAACACAAUGUUAACCCACUUAUAUGCUUACCUCUGGCCGUUUUAUACCACCACAACAACUACUACAUUUGUAAAAGUACAGAUCUGGGCCGAAAUCUUUGUCAAAAUCAAAAGCAGAUUUGCGCUGAAUCGGUACCAAAUCGGAGAUUAAAAAUGCAGAAACGAGAUUAAACAAGUUUGAAGAAGGAAGUGGGUGUUUUGUGUGUUUCAAUUGAAGGGGUUUGAUGUUGUUUUAGAGCUGGCAUGAGGUUUUAGGUUUGUACAGUAUUAAGCCGUGGGUUUCAAUUGAUUUUCUUUGGUGCCUCAGUGGUUUUUUUUUUUCUACACUGUUAUUGUUUGAAUAAUAUUAAGAUGUUUAAAAAAAAUUGAAGAGGUACAAGGAGAUAUAAUUGAUGAUCUUGUUGUUUUAUUGAUUUUGAUGUUUAAAAGAGGGAAUAAGAUUUGUUUUAAAGGAGAUCAUGUUGUUGUUGUUGAUGUUGUUCUUGUUGGACAUAACAAUUUUUUUUAGAGAGAGGAUGAUUAGAGUGUUUAUGAUGAUGAUGAUUAGAGUAUGAUUUGGUUGAUUAUGAAGACAAGAACAAAAUGGGAAGAAGAGAGAAGAAGAUUCCGCUGGAGAAGAACAAAAUAAAUUAUGGAACUUAAUUUUCAAAAAAAAAUUCUAGAAAAUUUUCUUAUUUUUUAUAAGCAUUAAGGGUAAUUUAGGUAUUUUACAUCUUUAGUAUUAUUUUUUGUACAAAAAUUAUUAUGUGUGCCACGUGGAAAUUAAAAAAAAUCAAUAAAUAAAUAAAUACACAGUCACCAAGCCACGUCAUCUCAUUUACCCAGCGAGAUGGCCUUUGGGGGUUAAAUCA